UACGGGGGGGGGCAAGCGUUGUUCGGAAUUACUGGGCGUAAAGGGCGCGUAGGCGGCCCUCUAAGUCAGACGUGAAAUCCCUCGGCUCAACCGGGGAACUGCGUCUGAUACUGGAGGGCUUGAAUCCGGGAGAGGGAUGUGGAAUUCCAGGUGUAGCGGUGAAAUGCGUAGAUAUCUGGAGGAACACCGGUGGCGAAGGCGGCAUCCUGGACCGGUAUUGACGCUGAGGCGCGAAAGCUAGGGGAGCAAACGGGG
rnacentral:rRNA from 1 species